GCCGGGAUAGUUCAGUGGUAGAACGCUUUCUUGGUAAGAAAGAGGUCAUGGGUCCAAUUCCCAUUCCCGGCU
rnacentral:tRNA from 1 species